GGCCACAGCCAUAUCACCCUACAGCUCAAGAGUGGUUACUCACUGAAGCUACGCAGGGCUGAGCUUGCUCAAUACCUAGAAGGGAGACCACAUGGGGAAACUCGGUUGCUGUUGGUU
rnacentral:rRNA from 1 species